ACCAGGAUGGCCGAGUGGUUAAGGCGUUGGACUUAAGUUCCAAUGUACGAAUGUACGCGUGGGUUCGAACCCCAUCUCCUGGUA